AAAGCGUUAGAGUAUGCACAACCUUGUUGUUAGACUCAUUUAAAAGUUUUACAUUCCACAGUUUGUAUUGGCCCUUCUCUGUUAUUUUCUGUGCAAAUUAUGUGCUCCUCACCACAGACUUGUAAUCUUCGUUCUCUGUAAGCAAUUUUAUUGAGGUCACAAAAGGCAAUUAUCUUGAAAUCAUUCCUGAU
rnacentral:sRNA from 1 species